GCCUUUGUGGUGUAAUGGUCAGCACACUCGGCGCGUAUUCCAGAUUUCAGAGGUUCGAGUCCCGGCGAGGGUG
rfam:Stegodyphus mimosarum contig48716, whole genome shotgun sequence.